GCAUGUAAAGGGAAUGGAAGUUUGGUGAAUUUGCCUUCUAAACAAGGAGCACAAUACUGAGGUUGUGAGUUACAAUGAUAAGGAAUUGAAGACUUACUAAGUGUUGUGACCCAUUUGACAAUGCCACAAUGUACAAGACACCUUUUGACCAAUAAAUGCUGCUGGUAAGGUCUUUUUGUUUGAGCACAGGUAGGGGAUAAAUUGGAUGAUUACUCAAUCAUUUAAACAAUAUUCUCUCAAUGACCUUGUCAUGUAUACAGAGAGACAACUCAUCAAUGAUACAUCUACAAUUAUUGUCUUUAUAUAAGUGAUACAUAGACAACAAGUGUUGUGACAAUCGAGAUACAUGCAGUAUAAAAUUAAGUUUAAAAUUGUGAGACAUUUUAGGAAGGUUAGAUUUGCCAAUACGAGCAAUGAUCAAACCUUUACCACUAGCACCAGUGACAAUAUCUAUAUUAGGAUAAGGAGAUGACAUCUGAAGAUUAGAAAUAUCCAAAGUCAUAUGAUGAGUAGCUCAUGAGUCAAGAAGCCAAUACUUAUGCUGAGGUGCAGAUGGACUUGUAUUAGCUUGAGCAGUCAUAUCAACAGAGGAAUUAAAUGGAGGAAGCACACUACUUGAAUUCUGAUAAGACAUGCCAGAUGGUUGACCAUUUGAAUUGAUAAGUUGUCGUGAAGCCUGAGAUUGUUGAUGAUAGGACUAUGAGAAUUGUUGUUGAUAAGACUGUGGUGGCUGAUAACUUUAAUAAGACUAUGAUGGCUGAUAACCUUGAGAUGAAGAAUUAUUUAUGUCAAAACAAUUAGCAGCCGUAUGUCCUACUCUAUGACAUAUUUGACAGCCAUGUUGAAAGCAAUUGAUAGUAGAGUGUCCAUUUUUGUCACAGAGUUGACAUUUAUGCAAUGGUUGAUAACUCUGUGGAGAUAUCAUUUGUUGUUGUCCUGGUGCUGAAUAAGGUUGUGACUAUGGUGAAAAUUGAUUUCCACCAUAUGAGAACUGUUGUGGAUACUGUCCUUGAUUACUAGAAAAGAACUUCUUGCCUUUACCCUUUUGUUUGAAUUAUUUCCUUUGAAAUUAUUGUAUGUAUCAGAACCACUUUGAGAGACAAAAGCCAAUGGUCCAGGAAAAGGAAGUUGUUGAGACGGAGGAAAGGGUAGUUGUUGUUGUGGAAAAGGGUUGUGGAAAUUGUAUAGGUGAGAACUGAGGAACUUGAUGAAAUUGCAUAUAGGGGAAUAGGAUAACUGAGGACUAGAAGUGUGUCCAAAAUAAUCACCUGAGUCAUUUCCAAAAGAAUUUGCCUUUGUACCACAGGUACCACCAGUGUCAUAUGUAAAAGGAGAACUAUGAGCCAUCAUAGCAUACAUUAGAGGAACUUGUUUAGUGACUUCAUUCAAUGAGUCUUCUUUAGCUUUCAAUUGAGAUCUCAGUUCCUUUAAAAACACCAAAGUUUCUCUUCCACGAAUGAUAGACUUGAUAAUGUUAUAUUCAGGAGGUAAACCCCGCAAUGCAACAAUAGCAAUGUCUUCAUCAGAAAUAACAACCCCAACAAUAGCUAAAUGAUCCAUAGCAUCUUUAAUCCUCUGAAGAUAUGCAUCAAUGGAUUCAUGUCAUUUUCUAAUAUUUGAAGAUCAAUCUUCAUCUGAACAAUACUAGUCCUAGUCAUAGUUGCAAACCUUUCUCGAAGACUAGUCCACAUUUCUUUAGAACUUUUGCAGCCAAUAACACAGGACAACACAGUAGUUGACAAAGUAGCAGUAAUGAGUGUCAUUAAUGCCUUAUCAUGUAUCUUCCAAACAGUAUAGGCAUCAAAAUCCAACUCAGGCUUAUCAGGACAUAGAAUGGAACCAUCAAGAAACCCAAAAAUGCCAUUUUCAUCAAGUAGUAACUCCAUUUGGAAAUUCCAAGUCACAUAGUUAGAGUCAUUAAGUUUGACAGUAACAUUAUUACCCAUAGUAGGAAUUAGAGACGAAAUUGGCAAUUGUGUAAGUGCUAAUUGAGAAGAGGUAACCAUUUUCAAAGAGAAAAAUCACAAUCCAUGCAACGCAAAUAUAAAGAAUUCACAAACGGAAUCAAUCCACAGACUACAGCGGAGUAGAACAAUUCACACCACAAAUUAUGCUACAAUCUUUUAAUUAACAACAAUUUCCAAGAGAACAAAUUCCCAAAAGCUAGGGUUUCAGACAAGAUUUUAUCAAGAAAUCAAGAUCACAACAACAAUAUGUGAGAUAUGAGGAUGAACAAUAUCACCUUCCUGAAGCACAAAGAUGAAUGAGCACAGCCGAAAACCAGCUAUGAAAUGAAGAAUCCCAAAAAUUAGGGUUCGCGACGAUCACUGACGAACGACAACACCGACAAACUUCAACCACAGACAACAACGAUGAGCUUCAACACCAACAACGACGACAACAAUCAGUAUAGAGAUACUAGUGAUCGGAAGCAGAGGAUCGUCAACCAAUGGUGUUACCCGUGAUUGGUGAUGAUACCAUGUCAACACUAGCUAUGGAAGAUGAAAACUUAGAAAUCUAGAGAGAUAGCUCGGAGAGAGAGAAAGAAAAUCUGCAACAA
rnacentral:lncRNA from 1 species